AAAAAGUUCGUAAACAAAGGUUUUCCGGUAGGUGAAACCCUGCGGAAAGGAUCAUUUACAGAAGUUUCAUGCCCUCCACGGGUAGAUCUCCCACCCUUGAAUAACUAUACCAUUAAGUAUGCUUUUGGCAGGCCGUGGAAACACCAUGUGGCCCCGGCUUAUGCGUUGCCUGCCAGAGGAAACAAACUCUGUUUUUAGUGAUGUCUGAGUACUAUAUAAUAGUUAAAACUUUCAACAACGGAUCUCUUGGUUCUGGCAUCGAUGAAGAACGCAGCGAAAUGCGAUAAGUAAUGUGAAUUGCAGAAUUCAGUGAAUCAUCGAAUCUUUGAACGCACAUUGCGCCCCGUGGUAUUCCGCGGGGCAUGCCUGUUCGAGCGUCAUUUCAACCAAUCCAGCCCUCGGCUGGGUCUUGGGGCCUGCGGUUUCGCAGCCUCUAAACACAGUGGCAGUGCGAUUGAGCUCUGAGCGUAGUAAAUUUUCUCGCUAUAGGGUCUCGGUCGUUAGCUCGCCAGUAACCCCCCAUUUUUAAUCAGGUUGACCUCGGAUCAGGUAGGGAUAACCCGCUGAACUUAAGCAUAUCAAUAAGCGGAGGAAAAGAAACCCAACCAUUU
rnacentral:rRNA from 1 species